GUGAAAAUGCAGAGACGAAUUAGUAACCAACUGCCUGUUUUCCAGAAACUGAGUGGCUGCUGUGAACUCAGAACAGGUCGUGGCGAACUCAUCGUCGAAUGCUUGGUCGAACGAAGUAAAUCAAGCCGGUUUGUCGCCGUUAUUGAUUCGAGAGCUCAAGUAAUUGAGAAUAUAGGUGGUACCGCGAUAAAUCGUCCUAUAA
rnacentral:ncRNA from 1 species